GAGGGUAUAGCUCUAGUGGUAGAGCACAUGCUUAGCACGCAUGAGGUCCUGGGUUCAAUCCCCAGCACCUCCU
rnacentral:tRNA from 1 species